rnacentral:rRNA from 1 species
GGGUUAGUAGGUUGGUCAUGCCUCUGGUAUGUACUGGUCUCACUGAUUCCUCCUUCCUGAUGAGCCGUAAUGCCAUUAAUUUGGUGUUGCGGGGAAUUUGGACUGUUACUUUGAAAAAAUUAGAGUGUUUAAAGCAAGCUAACGCUUGAAUACAUUAGCAUGGAAUAAUAGAAUAGGACCGUGGUCUUAUUUUGUUGGUUUCUAGGAUUGACGUA